CUCCCUCUCUCUCUCCCCUGUCCACUCUCACCUCCCUCCUCCCUCUCUCACCCCCCUCACUUCCCUCCCUCCCUCUUUCAGACUGAUCAUCUUUAAGAUCCUGGCACAGUUUGUGAUCCUGGGUUGUACCUGGGUGCUGGGCUUGUUCCAGUCCACCAUGGUCUUCAAGUACCUCUUCAUCGUGCUCAACUCCCAGCAGGGCACCUUCCUCUACAUCGUUCACUGUCUCUUCAACAAGGAGGUACGUGAUGAGUACAGGAAGUGGCUAGGCUGUUCUUCCAGCUCCUCUACUCCAGACUCUAUGAAAGAAGCACCUUCCGUCUCUGAAGACCUGGACAAGGCUGGGGAAGAGAGACAAAACAAAGGAACACGGCCAGGAUGAGAGCAACAUGAUACGAUACCAUCAGACCUCCAAAGAAUUUCAGCACAGUGGGCCUCCAUGUAGGCUACCCUCCCCCACUGGAACCAAGCAGGCCAGGGGGGUCAUAAACUGGCCCUUCACACCUAGGACCCUGGCCAACGAUUUGUUGCUAGGGGUCAUGGUUGCCAGAGGCCUUAUCACACUGUGGGGUCAUCACAGGCAGUCUGCUUGGGUCCCAGAUCACAAACUCCUGCCUCCCCCUCUGUCUACUUCAAGCAGUCACAGAGAGAGCAGCAAGCUCAUCUUUGUCCUGCACAACAGCUGCUGGACUCAUAUCUCUGAGCUUGUGGAAUGGUGUGCGUGCACAGAGUGAAUUGUGCGAUAUUUGUAUAUUGUUCUUCGUAGUUGUUACUAUUGUUGUAUAAUGUCUUUGUCUAUAGCUGUAUUGUAAUAUGUCAGGUAGCAUAUAUACUGAACAAAAAUAUCAUAUAAGUGUUGGUCUCAUGUUUCAUGAAAUGAAAUAAAAGUUUCCAGAAUUUUUCCAUUUGCACAAAAAGCUUAUUUCUCUCAAAUUUUGUGCACAAAUUUGUUUACAUCCCUGUUACUGAGCAUUUCUCCUUUGCCAAGAUAAUUGUAACGGCUGUCGUCGUAAUGAGACCAAGGUGCAGCGGAGGAUGUGUGUUCAUCUUGAAAUUUAAUUCAAAAAGAGAACACUUACAAAAUUAAACAAAAGAUGACAGCAAAACAGUCCUGUCAGGAAAUACUCUAAACAGAAAACACUAGACAGAAACAAUCACCCACAAACCCCAAAGGAAAAACAGGCUUCCUAUGUAUGACUCCCAAUCAGCAACAACGAACUACAGCUGCUCCUGAUUGGGAGCCACACACGGCCAACCAAAGAAAUUAACCAACAUAGAAAAAUAAACAUAGAACGCCCACCCAUG
rnacentral:lncRNA from 8 species